UACUCUACUGAUUCAAAUUUGGCUUAACAUUUCGACAAAACUUGUGCUACAUUUAUAAUUAUGUUCCGCGCCUUCCUUAAAGUUCACGACUAGAAUUAGUUUAAAUUGAUCCAGCUAUUAUUAUUGUUAAUAUUUGAACCUUCAACUAUAACUAAACCUUAAAACCAUGUGGCGACAAUGGCAACAACCCUUUGUUCCCACCUGGAAAGGCACCAGCCCCAAGUGUCGAUAAGUUUUUGGUUUUUGUUGACGUUCCCUUUCCUGUCAACUUUGUGGCCCUUUGUGUGCUGGGUGCCAAGUAAUGGCUUUAUACGACAGAAACCAAUUUAUUCACCCAUCCUGUUCCUGCUUCAAAUUACAUUCACGUGAAGUGAAGUGCCCUUAAAAAUGGCCAACCUUACAGCUGGAUAUGACCUUAAAUUCACUUUCGGCAUUGACAGUUUAAAGCACAAAUAAAGUCGGGCGACUUGUCUUGAUUUCACAAAUUAAUAAGCCAGCUCGAAUAUUAUAUAAAUAUGUAACAGAAUACAAAAUAAUA